UACGGGGGGAGCAAGCGUUGUUCGGAUUUACUGGGCGGAAAGGGCGCGUAGGCGGUCAGCACAAGUCAGUUGUGAAAUCUCCGAGCUUAACUCGGAAAGGUCAACUGAUACUGUGCGACUAGAGUGCGGAAGGGGCAACUGGAAUUCUUGGUGUAGCGGUGAAAUGCGUAGAUAUCAAGAGGAACACCUGCGGCGAAGGCGGGUUGCUGGGCCGACACUGACGCUGAAGUGCGAAAGCCAGGGGAGCGAACGGG
rnacentral:rRNA from 1 species